GAUGAACGCUGGCGGUAUGCUUAACACAUGCAAGUCGAACGGACUCUUCGGAGUUAGUGGCGGACGGGUGAGUAACGCGUGAGAAUCUGGCUUUGGGUUCGGGACAGCCACUGGAAACGGUGGCUAAUACCGGAUGUGCCGAGAGGUAAAAGAGAAAUUGCCUGAAGAUGAGCUCGCGUCUGAUUAGCUAGUUGGUGAGGUAAAGGCUCACCAAGGCAGCGAUCAGUAGCUGGUCUGAGAGGAUGACCAGCCACACUGGGACUGAGACACGGCCCAGACUCCUACGGGAGGCAGCAGUGGGGAAUUUUCCGCAAUGGGCGAAAGCCUGACGGAGCAAUACCGCGUGAGGGAAGAAGGCUCUUGGGGUGUAAACCUCUUUUCUUAGGGAAGAACAAAAUGACGGUACCUAAGGAAUCAGCAUCGGCUAACUCCGUG
rnacentral:rRNA from 1 species